CCCUUAGAUGUUCUGGGCUGCACGCGCGCUACACUGAAGCUAUCAACACGUUUUCCCUCCCUGAGGAGGGCGGGUAACCUUCUGAAUCAGCUUCGUGGUAGGGAUCGGGGCUUGCAAUUGUUCCCCGUGAACCAGGAAUUCCUAGUAGACGCGAGUCAUAAGCUCGCAUCGAUUAAGUCCCUGCCCUUUGUACACACCGCCCGUCGCUACUACCGAUUGAACGUUUUAGUGAGGCAUUUGGACCGACGCAUCUCAGUUUAACCGCUGGUUUGUGUUGGAAAGACUUCCAAACUUGAGCGUUUAGAGGAAGUAAAAGUCGUAACA
rnacentral:rRNA from 1 species